GCGCGUCACGCGGGAGAGAACUCCCGUAUGGAGUCGCCGAAGGCGCAACCCCCCGGAACCGCUCAGGCACAACGGACCGCGUGCGAAUC
rnacentral:ncRNA from 2 species